rnacentral:rRNA from 1 species
GCGGCAAGAGCUCAGAUUUGAAAUCGUGCUUUGCGGCACGAGUUGUAGAUUGCAGGUUGGAGUCUGUGUGGAAGGCGGUGUCCAAGUCCCUUGGAACAGGGCGCCCAGGAGGGUGAGAGCCCCGUGGGAUGCCGGCGGAAGCAGUGAGGCCCUUCUGACGAGUCGAGUUGUUUGGGAAUGCAGCUCCAAGCGGGUGGUAAAUUCCAUCUAAGGCUAAAUACUGGCGAGAGACCGAUAGCGAACAAGUACUGUGAAGGAAAGAUGAAAAGCACUUUGAAAAGAGAGUGAAACAGCACGUGAAAUUGUUGAAAGGGAAGGGUAUUGCGCCCGACAUGGGGAUUGCGCACCGCUGCCUCUCGUGGGCGGCGCUCUGGGCUUUCCCUGGGCCAGCAUCGGUUCUUGCUGCAGGAGAAGGGGUUCUGGAACGUGGCUCUUCGGAGUGUUAUAGCCAGGGCCAGAUGCUGCGUGCGGGGACCGAGGACUGCGGC